CCCUUAGAUGUUCUGGGCCGCACGCGCGCUACACUGUUCGACGCAGCGAGUCUUAACCUUGACCGAAAGGUUUGGGUAAUCUUCAGCAAAGUCGAACGUGAUGGGGAUCGAUCAUUGCAAUUAUUGAUCGUGAACGAGGAAUUCCUAGUAAGUGCAAGUCAUCAGCUUGCGCUGAUUACGUCCCUGCCCUUUGUACACACCGCCCGUCGCUACUACCGAUUGAAUGGUUUAGUGAGAUCUCUGGAUUGACGCUGGCUAGGGGGCGACCCUUGGCCGGACUGUUGAGAAACUGCUCAAACUUGAUCAUUUAGAGGAAGCAAAAGUCGUAACA
rnacentral:rRNA from 1 species